GUACGUAGGGGGCAAGCGUUGUCCGGAUUUAUUGGGCGUAAAGAGCGUGUAGGCGGCCAGGUAGGUGGGUUGUGAAAACUGGAGGCUCAACCUUCAGACGGUCGACCCAAACCCCCUGGCUAGAGUCCGGAAGAGGAGAGUGGAAUUCCUGGUGUAGCGGUGAAAUGCGCAGAUAUCAGGAAGAACACCCGUGGCGAAGGCGGCUCUCUGGGACGGUACUGACGCUGAGACGCGAAAGCGUGGGGAGCGAACAGG
rnacentral:rRNA from 1 species